AUACGGAGGAUCCGAGCGUUAUCCGGAUUUAUUGGGUUUAAAGGGAGCGUAGGUGGACAGUUAAGUCAGUUGUGAAAGUUUGCGGCUCAACCGUAAAAUUGCAGUUGAUACUGGUUGUCUUGAGUACAGUAGAGGUGGGCGGAAUUCGUGGUGUAGCGGGGAAAUGCUUAGAUAUCACGAAGAACUCCGAUUGCGAAGGCAGCUCACUGGACUGCAACUGACACUGAUGCUCGAAAGUGUGGGUAUCAAACAGGAUUAGAUACCCUGGUAGUCCACACAGUAAACGAUGAAUACUCGCUGUUUGCGAUAUACAGUAAGCGGCCAAGUGAAAGCAUUAAGUAUUCCACCUGGGGAGUACGCCGGCAACGGUGAAACUCAAAUGAAUUGACGGGG
rnacentral:rRNA from 1 species